rnacentral:sRNA from 1 species
UUCUAAACCCGAUUGCCACGGAAAUACUUUUUUGAUAAACCUAAGAGGUUUAUUUUUACAAAAAAGAUUGAAGUAAGAGCGGGACUAUAA